UAGCUGAGGCGGUGAUUAUUUCUACAUGUGCGGCCGUGUCAGCGGCCAUAGCCACCGAGGUGGUAAGGAGCAAGCUUAGUGCUCCUACUCCUCCUCCAUCCCCACCAGCCUCGCCCAACAGAGUUUUUGGUGCUUCUCCUGCCAAAGAUGGAACACAACCUCCUCCAUCUCCAACCCCACAAUCCUCGUCAACCAAAGUUCCUGGUGCAACUCGUGCAGUUCCUGCUGCUUCUCCUGCCACAGAUGGAACACAACCUCCUCCACCUCCAACUUCACAAGGCUUGCCAUCAGUGAAUGUCAAAGAUCGCAAUAGAGACCUUGCAAAAAGUCUAGAUGAAGGGCCGGAAAAUUGAGCAGAACAGCAAUUGCUGCAUGGAUUCUUUUAGCCAGCAAGAGUGCACAUUCUCAAAUGAGGCGUGAUUUCUCCUGUCAGACUUCUCCAAGAGCUCCACUCUUGUGAUAACGUUCCUGUCUUGCUGUGUUUUAAUUGCUGUCUUUUUGUCUCAUAUUUGAUAUCUUUUGAUACUCUACCUUCUAUCUACCGGAUUAUGAUGAUGGCAUGCAUGUUUGAAAAA